UACGUAGGUGGCUAGCGUUGUCCGGAUUUACUGGGCGUAAAGAGCGCGCAGGCGGUCGUUCAAGUCGAGUGUGAAAGCCCCCGGCUCAACUGGGGAGGGUCACUCGAUACUGAUCGACUCGAAGGCAGAAGAGGGAAGCGGAAUUCCCGGUGUAGUGGCGAAAUGCGUAGAUAUCGGGAGGAACACCAGUGGCGAAGGCGACUACCUGGCCUGUUUCUUGACGCUGAGGCGCGAAAGCUAGGGGAGCAAACGGG
rnacentral:rRNA from 1 species